CGUAGGGGGCGAGCGUUGUCCGGAUUCAUUGGGCGUAAAGCGCUUUAAGGCGGUUCGCUAAGUCGCGUGUGAAACCUCCAGGCUCAACCUGGAGACGCCACGCGAUACUGGCGUGACUAGAGUUCGGUAGGGGAUCACGGAAUUCCUGGUGUAGCGGUGAAAUGCGCAGAUAUCAGGAGGAACACCGGUGGCGAAGGCGGUGAUCUGGGCCGACACUGACGCUGUAGAGCGAAAGCGUGGGGAGCGAACAGGAUUAGAUACCCUGGUAGUCCACGCCGUAAACGUUGGGCACUAGGUGUGGGGGAUUAUCAACGUCCUCCGUGCCGUAGCUAACGCAUUAAGUGCCCCGCCUGGGGAGUACGGCCGCAAGGCUA
rnacentral:rRNA from 1 species